GGGGCCAUAGCUCAGCUGGGAGAGCAGCAGACUGAAGAUAUCAUGUUGUAAUAAAUGUGUAAGCAUUCUGAAGGUCCUGUGUUCGAUCCACAGUGGCCCCA